CACCAAUUCCCUCUGUUCAGCACGUGGGCCUUUUUGGAUAUUGGCCAGACAUGCUAUGGAAUAUUCCAGGCAAUGUUGAAUUUCUUAGUGUGACACAGUUUAAGCAUUUUAUGCAAUGUCAUCAUAGCUGAAUUUCUUAGUGCGACACAAGCUGAAUUUCUUAGUGCGACACAAGUUGAAUUUCUUAGUGCGACACAAGUUGAAUUUCUUAGUGCGACACAGUUUAAGCCAAGUGCCAUCUUAACUAUCUAUGAUAGAUUAAUUUGCUCAUUAGUGAUCAAUCAAUCAUUCUUAAUUAGUUAAUU